CUUUCCGGCCGGACUGCCGCGCCUGUGGCCGGAAGAGCCAGCUAGACCAGAGAGUCUGUACCUGCAACCCUGGCGGCGUCCGAGCCCAAGGCGGAGUCUGGGAGACAAAGAAGUCCUCGCCGCCGGCCGCUGGAGGAUUCUGCCAGUAGUGAAGUCAGGGAUGGGCCCGAGAGAGCUUGGAAAGAGGACAAGGAAGGGAAGGAGUAGGAGUAGAAAAGCAUGACUUUGGCUGGAGAUGGGGUCUCGUUAUGUUGACCAGGCUGGUCUUGAACACCUGACCUGAAGUGAUCCUCUUGCCUCAGCCUCCCAUAGUGCUGCGAUCACAGGUGUAAGUCACUGAGUUUGGCCAUUAUUCCAUUUCUGUACACAAAAACCUUUCUCAUUCUGUGCUAUAACUAGUUAGCAUUUAAUUGGGUGGAUGUGGUAUAACUAGUGCCUUGUUGAUAUUGAUGCAUAUUUACAUGGUUUUGCUGUUAUAAACAAUGGUCCCUUGCUAUUAUAAAUCACACUGCUAUAAGUAACCUUGCAUCUAAAUUACUUCAAAUGUGUAACUAUAUGGGUAGGAUAAUUUCUAGAAGUGGAAUUGUGAACCAAAGUUUUAGGUGCAUUUGUAAUUUUGAUUUAUAACCAAUCUUUUCACUGAUCUACUUCUCUGCCUCUAAUUUCUACUAGGUGUUUGUUUGUUUGUUUGUUUGUUUUGAGACAGGGUCUUGCUCUGUCACCCAGGCUGGAGGACAGUGGUGCAAUCACGGCUCACUGCAGCCUCAACCUGCCACCUCAGCCUCCUGAAUAGUUGGGGUGUGUGGCAGGUGUAUACCACCACUUCCAGGUUUUUUUGUUGUUGUUGUUUAAUAGAGAUGAGGUCUUGCUAUAUUGCCCAGGCAGGUCUCACACUACUGAGCGCAAGCGAUCCUCCUGCCUAUGCCUCCCAAAGUGCUGGGAUUACAGGUGUGAGUUGCCAUGCCUGGCCCGGUUAUCUUUCUAAAGCAUAAAGCAACCCUGUUGAUCCUCUGCUUAAUUUUGAUGAUUAAGUAGUAUGUUCAAAAUAUAGAAAUCCAUGUAUUGAUAAUGAUCUUUUAAAAAAAGUAAAAGCCAAAAUAUCAGCUACUCAUCCUACACCAUUGAAAGUAGUGACCAUUAAACUGCUCUACCUCUACCUCCACCUCUCUACCUCUCUACCUCUCUACCUCUACCUCUACCCACGGUCUCCCUCUCUUUCCAUGGUCUCCCUCUCAUGUGGAGCCGAAGCUGGACUGUACUGCUGCCAUCUCGGCUCACUGCAACCUCCCUGCCUGAUUCUCCUGCCUCAGCCUGCCGAGUGCCUGCGAUUGCAGGCACGCGCUGCCACGCCUGACUGGUUUUGGUGGAGACGGGGUUUCGCUGUGUUGGCCGGGCCGGUCUCCAGCCCCUAACCGCGAGUGAUCCGCCAGCCUCGGCCUCCCGAGGUGCCGGGAUUGCAGACGGAGUCUCGUUCACUCAGUGCUCAAUGGUGCCCAGGCUGGAGUGCAGUGGCGUGAUCUCGGCUCGCUACAACCUACACCUCCCAGCCGCCUGCCUUGGCCUCCCAAAGUGCCGAGAUUGCAGCCUCUGCCCAGCCGCCACCCCGUCUGGGAAGUGAGGAGUGUCUCUGCCUGGCCGCCCAUCGUCUGGGAUGUGAGGAGCCCCUCUGCCUGGCUGCCCAGUCUGGAAAGUGAGGAGCGUCUCCGCCCGGCCGCCAUCCCAUCUAGGAAGUGAGGAGUGCCUCUUCCCAGCCGCCAUCACAUCUAGGAAGUGAGGAGCGUCUCUGCCCGGCCGCCCAUCGUCUGAGAUGUGGGGAGCGCCUCUGCCCCGCCGCCCCAUCUGGGAUGUGAGGAGCGCCUCUGCCCGGCCGCGACCCCGUCUGGGAGGUGCAUGCCUUCCUUAUUUCUCAUACUCAUCACCUCCUCUUCCCGCUUGGAACUGCCCACACUGGUGAUUUCCUUGUUAAGGAACUUGAUGGCGUUGUGCAUGCUCGCUGACAGGGGACGGCACUGAGUCAGGAAGCUAUAAUACAACAGCAAUACCUUAUAUCUGCGCAACUCUUCACAACUUACAAAGCCUUCACAUUUAAAAAAAAAGUCUUUAAAAAGAAAAUAGAACACAAAAUGAAAAGAGAGAUAGAAAAGCAGGAAAAAGAGUACAAGACAAAGAUUGGGCGAGCUGGGAGUGGACUUAUAGUGUUGUCCCUACCUCAUGUAGGGUUUUAGUUUAUUCACUAGAUCCCUGGAGAGUUCUUCAUUAGGCGGUGUUGUGUAAUCCUGAAUCACCUAUAGGGUACACAAGGUGAUCUGCAAAAUACCCCUUAAUAAAGAUCUCUGAACGGGG
rnacentral:lncRNA from 1 species